AAGAAACCAACCGGGAUUGCCUUAGUAACGGCGAGUGAAGCGGCAAAAGCUCAAAUUUGAAAUCUGGCGUCUUCGACGUCCGAGUUGUAAUUUGAAGAAGGCGACUUUGUAGCUGGUCCUUGUCUAUGUUCCUUGGAACAGGACGUCAUAGAGGGUGAGAAUCCCGUGUGGCGAGGAUCCCAGUUAUUUGUAAAGUGCUUUCGACGAGUCGAGUUGUUUGGGAAUGCAGCUCUAAGUGGGUGGUAAAUUCCAUCUAAAGCUAAAUAUUGGCGAGAGACCGAUAGCGAACAAGUACAGUGAUGGAAAGAUGAAAAGAACUUUGAAAAGAGAGUGAAAAAGUACGUGAAAUUGUUGAAAGGGAAGGGCAUUUGAUCAGACAUGGCGUUUGCUUCGGCUUUCGCUGGGCCAGCAUCAGUUUUAGCGGUUGGAUAAAUCCUCGGGAAAUGUGGCUCUGCUUCGGUAGAGUGUUAUAGCCCGUGGGAAUACAGCCAGCUGGGACUGAGGAUUGCGACUUUUGUCAAGGAUGCUGGCGUAAUGGUUAAAUGCCGCCCG
rnacentral:rRNA from 1 species